rnacentral:ncRNA from 1 species
GGAAGCCGUAUGAGCUGAGAGGUUCAUGUACGGUUUUAAGAGGGGCUGAGGUGAAAGUCCUUGGUCUACUCACC